rnacentral:rRNA from 2 species
GAGCGAAUUGAUGGGAGCUUGCUCCCUGAUAUAUGCGGCGGACGGGUGAGUAACACGUGGGUAACCUGCCUGUAAGGUUGGGAUAACUCCGGGAAACCGGAGCUAAUACCGGAUAACAUUUCGAACCGCAUGGUUCGAAAUUGAAAGAUGGUUUCGGCUAUCACUUACAGAUGGACCCGAGGCGCAUUAGCUAGUUGGUGAGGUAACGGCUCACCAAGGCAACGAUGCGUAGCCGACCUGAGAGGGUGAUCGGCCACACUGGGACUGAGAGACGGCCCAGACUCCUACGGGAGGCAGCAGUAGGGAAUCUUCCGCAAUGGACGAAAGUCUGUCGGAGCAACGCCGCGUGAACGAUGAAGGCCUUCGGGUCGUAAAGUUCUGUUGUUAGGGAAGAACAAGUUCCAGAGUAACUGCUGGUCCCUUGACGGUACCUAAC